rnacentral:other from 1 species
AGAUUUCUGAGGUAUUCGCAGUGUCCGUUACAGUGUUGACCGAACAAUUAAGUAUACCUUGGGAUCCAAACUUUAUCAGGCGGAUAACAUGCCUUUUCACUUGGAAGUUAGAAACCUGAGAGUGGAGCCCACCUGCUAAGUAGCGGGUUCAAUACUUUAGGACAUUUAAACGGUACCACCGGAUUUCUU